CCAUAGCGUCUAUUCAAGUUGUUGCGGUUAAAAAGCUCGUAGUUGGAUUUCUGCUGAGGAUGACCGGUCCGCCCUCUGGGCAGGUAUCUGGCUCAGCCUUGGCAUCUUCCUGAAGAACGCAGCUGCACUUGACUGUGUGGUGCGGUAUUUAGGACAUUUACUUUGAGGAAAUUAGAGUGUUUCAAGCAAGCGCACGCCUUGAAUACAUUAGCAUGGAAUAAUAAGAUAGGACCUCGGUUCUAUUUUGUUGGUUUCUAGAACUGAGGUAAUGAUUGAUAGGGAUAGUUGGGGGCAUUCGUAUUUAACUGUCAGAGGUGAAGUUCUUGGAUUUGUUAAAGACGGACUACUGCGAAAGCAUUUGCCAAGGAUGUUUUCAUUGA
rnacentral:rRNA from 1 species